rnacentral:rRNA from 1 species
ACAAACAGUAGGAGCCUCAUCAGAGGUGACUGCGUACCUUUUGCAUAAUGGGUCAGCGACUUACAUUCUGUGGCGAGCUUAACCGAAUAGGGGAGGCGCAGCGAAAGCGAGUCCGAACAGGGCGAUAUUAGUCGUUGGGCGUAGACCCGAAACCAGAUGAUCUAUCCAUGGUCAGGUUGAAGGUGUGGUAACACACACUGGAGGACCGAACCGACUAGUGUUGCAAAAUUAGCGGAUGAACUGUGGAUAGGGGUGAAAGGCUAAACAAAUCUGGAGAUAGCUGGUUCUCCCCGAAAACUAUUGAGGUAGUGCCUCGUGUAUGACUCCAGGGGGUAGAGCACUGUUAUGGCUAGGGGGACAUGGCGUCUUACCAAACCAUGGCAAACUCCGAAUACUUGGAAGUUCGAGCACGGGAGACAGAGCACCGGGUGCUAACGUCCGGACUCAAAAGGGAAACAACCCAGACCGCCGGCUAAGGUCCCAAAUAUCGGCUAAGUGGAAAACGAAGUGGAAAGGCUAAGACAGUCAGGAAGUUGGCUUAGAAGCAGCCAUCCUUCAAAGAAAGCGUAAUAGCUCACUGAUCGAGUCUUUCUGCGCGGAAGAUGUAACGGGGCUAAGUCGAUAACCGAAGCCGCGGAUUCGCAGCAAUGCGAGUGGUAGGGGAGCGUUCCGUAAGCCUGCGAAGGCGGACCCGCGAGGGCCGCUGGAGGUAUCGGAAGUGCGAAUGCUGACAUGAGUAACGUUAAAGCGGGUGAAAAGCCCGCUCGCCGCAAGCCCAAGGUUUCCUGCUCUACGUUCAUCGGAGCAGGGUGAGUCGGCCCCUAAGGCGAGGCUGAGAAGCGUAGCCGAUGGGAAGCAGGUUAAUAUUCCUGCACCGCCGCCAAGUGCGAAGGGGGGACGGAGCAUUGAAGGUCAUCCGGGUGUUGGAAAUCCCGGUUUACGAGCGUAGGAGGUCGACAGGCAAAUCCGUCGACGAAUCUCCGAGGCGAAGGAUCGAGGGCCGUAUGGCUUGAAGUGACCGGAUGUGCUUCCAGGAAAAGCCUCUAAGCAUCAGCUUGGCGGGACCGUACCGCAAACCGACACUGGUGGGCGAGCUGAAUAUGCUCAGGCGCUUGAGAGAACUCAGGAGAAGGAACUCGGCAAAUUGACACCGUAACUUCGGGAUAAGGUGUGCCUUUGUAGCGUGAAGGGAGAAACACCCGGAGCGUGAAGAGGUCUCAGAGAAUCGGUGGCUGCGACUGUUUACUAAAAACACAGCACUCUGCAAAGAUGAAAGUCGACGUAUAGGGUGUGAUGCCUGCCCGGUGCUGGAAGAUUAAUUGAUGGGGUGCAAGCCCUUGAUCGAAGUCCCAGUAAACGGCGGCCGUAACUAUAACGGUCCUAAGGUAGCGAAAUUCCUUGUC